CCAUCUAGUAGCUGGUUCCCUC
rnacentral:ncRNA from 2 species